rnacentral:lncRNA from 1 species
GAAAACUGAACUUAGAAAAUCAAAAAGGGGAGGAAGAGAAUUUUCAGAGUGGAAGAGAGUAAUAUUAAGCUAGCUUUUCAACCUUAAGAAAGCUAAGUGAAUUGAGUGUUCGAAACCAGAAGUUAUUGAUUUUCUAGCAACUGACUCUUCUCUGCUUUGAUUUUGAGGGUAUUAUGGUGGUAUUGGCAUCCAAUUGGUAUCUGGGGUUUUUAGUUGGUUUUUCAACUUGUUGUUUAGUGUUUUUGGGCUCUUUAUGUUGGUUUUCUAUUCAAAAAUCCCUG